GGACUUUGAAUUUGUCCCCAUUUGGCCUUAGGUCCUAGAAGGCAGUCAUGUCAGCCUGGACUCACUGGUCAGUACUGUCACAGUUGAUGGAAUGUCCCGAGUCUUUUUCCUUGCAGGCCAACGUGGAGCCUGUGCAAUCCCUACUUCUCUGCUUGGAUCCCUGCCUGGGUCCAAGUGGAAAAGUGAGUCCAGUGACAGAAGGAGGACUCUACUUUGCUCCUUUAAGAUAGACCCUGAGUGCAUGUGCCUUCCAUUUAGAUGACUGGGCCUAUGACGCUCUGAGGGUGUGGCUGGAGUCCUGUUGGCCGAGGCCUUAAUUAAAUGCUGGAGGAGAAUAACUGAACAGGUUUGGUCCCACCCUCUUUUGGUCAAAUUAGAGUGGCUUAUCAAGUAGAAUUACUCAAAGGGAGACUUUGCCAGAAGCUAAGACUGUAAAAAUGAGGAGUGGAUAUUGUUGGGAGACAAUUCUGCAUGGGUCUUUUGAAUUUCUGCAUGUUUUUGGAGCAGAGGCAUGGACAGCCUUUGUUCCAGAUGAUCUUUUCAAGGAUGUUGUAUUACAAACAACCUUGGCAGAUAGUGUCUCUCAUCAGAGCCAAGGGCAGGCAGGCUUAGUGUUCAUUUGAAAAGAUUUACCUUCCCUACGUGGGGGGGGGGGUCUCUCUCCUGUGAUGCAACCCCCUGUGCAGGUGUCAUCUGGCCCUGAUUGUGUUGUCUUAUGAAAUUUGGGGCUUAGGGAACCAAUACAAGAAAAUGCUGCUACUCUGGCCCUGCUACUUCUAUGAGCAAUGAACUCCUUUGUCUCUGACCCGGGAGCCUUGUAUCUUCUGCCAGAUGAACACCUCUGCUCUGACCCGGGAGCCUUAUAUCUUGCGCCAGCUUCUAUGCAACUGCAGCAAGCUCAUUGUUAGUUUGAAAUAGGAUGAUAUCUCAAAUACCUCACAGGUCCAGGCUGUGUCUGGCUUGGGCCACCCUGAAUGUACUGUGUAUGUGGACAUUAUCUAUUGUGGGCAUCCCAGGAAGAUAAAAACAGAGAACCACAGCCUCAAGUUGUGCUAGCCUGAACUGGGUGGCAUGGGGCAGUCACCAUCUGGCUCUUCCCCUGCUCAGUGCAUGCAGUCAACCCUACAUAAAGCUCUGGAAGGUUGGCUGGAGAGGGCUGGGGGCAGCCUCUGGGGUCCAACCGUGUGAAUUUCUACCACAAUUCUCCACGUGUCAUAGUCUCUGUUUUCCCAUCUGUCAAGCAGGGAUAACAGCAGCACUCGCUUCUGAGUGGUUUUGUGGGGACAAAUAGUUGAGUUGGCACAAACAAGCCCUGAUAAAAGUUGUGAUUAUCAUUUCCUCAAUGACCUCACCGCUCCUACUUUGACUUAUUCUUUGUACGGCUGUCUCCCCCUCUUAACAUCCUGUCUAUAAUCUAAGUUUAUCUCUUCUCCUCUGAAAUUGGCCAAUUUACAUGGCACCCCUCACCACGGUCUCUGAAUGUGCCUGUAAUCUAAUUAGACUAAUUUCAAUUUCCUGGAUUUAAUUACUUUUAAUUCAAUUAAUUUAGAAUGCAGUACACAAGGUGAUUAAUUAGGAAACAUUACUGAGAGAUUCGGAAGGUGAAUUGCAGUGUGUAAGUGUUUAAGUAUCAUUGUGGCCACAGCCACCCAUUGUCACUUUGCACAGGAGACCACCAAGACCCUGGGAAGGGCAGAGUUGGAGAAGCCGGCAGGAAAGGGACUCAAACGGAAGCCUCCUGGCACCAAGCACAGAGCCCUUUCAUCGUGUGGCUUCCAGCAUCUCUCAGGGGAGGCAAAAAGGAGCAGUUGAUUCCAGUUACAAGCAAGUCGGAACUGAGGCAUGAACUGUGGGAGGUGAGGACAAAAUUUGUCUUUCAACAGAGUGAUAUUUCACAGUGUGCUUUUUCUGUACAUGGUAUGUAAGCCAACCUUAGUGCUCCCUCUGAGCUACCAUGCAUAUCCCU
rnacentral:lncRNA from 1 species